AAGACAAAAGAGGGGAGGGGAAAAGGAAAAGCAAGAAAUUCACGUAGAAAUAACACUAGAAACGUUAGACAUAGAACUAGUCAAAAAAAUUGAAAUAGAGACGAUUUGGCGCGCUUCGCGGCAAGUACGGCUGCCAUCUUGUAAAAGUGUCUCUGUAGUGUUUGGAAGUUCAGCGAGAAGGAACAGCAGCUUCGCCGGAGGCUGGAAGUCCUUUCAAAGCGGUCGCAACGCUCCUUGGCAGUCCCUGGGCACCCAGGUGACCCUCGAGCGAGGCCAGGGUACUCAAAAGCUGCUACGACGAAAAUUAGCAAGGCCAGCGGACUCACUUUACACGCCCGACUCUCGCGAAGAUGAGUUCGGCAUCAACGGGCGGUACAGAGGAGUCCAGCCCAUCUUCUAGCCCUGCUUCAGCCACAAGUCUGACCAUGGCAGCUCCAAAGUAUGGUACAUUGGUACCUAAUCGUAUAUUUGUUGGGGGAAUCUCAGCAAGUACCAGUGAGGCAGAACUUGCAGAACUUUUUUCUCAAUAUGGUACUGUGAAAGCUACAAAAAUAAUUGCUGAUCGUGCUGGAGUUUCAAAAGGUUACGGUUUUGUCACAUUUGAAACUGAAGAAGAAGCUAAACGGCUUCAACAAGAGCCUGAAUGUAUUGUCCUAAGAGAGAGAAAACUUAAUAUAGCUCCUGCAAUCAAGAAACAGCCCUUCAACAGAUCGUUCGAUGGUGGUUCUGGUUCACCACCCUCUGUGCCUAGUAGUACUUAUUAUUAUGCAAAUGGAAUGGGUCUUACAUACCAAAAUGGUAUGACAUUCUACAAUGCAGCGGCACCUGCACCAGGAACUCCUAUAGCACCACCAGCAGAUCCUGCGACAAUUUAUCAAGCUACAGGUGUUUUUGGUCCUCAGGCUACUACUGGUCAUCAAACUUUUGCUCCAGUUAUGUAUCCAUGCCCAGCACCAUCUUUGUAUAUGCCGCAACAGUACCAGUAUCCACCCAUGCCGUACGAACCAUAUUACGCAGGAGCAGCUGCUGCUGGAGCUUCACCAUACCUAUUUACUACCAGCAGUUCGCAAAGCAACACAAGUAGUGGUGGCAAUAAUAAUACCAGCGGCAAUAAUGGUACAGGAGCAAAUAGUCCAGCAACGGGUCCACCGCCAACGCUCCCGUCUCUUCAUCCACCACCUCCUGCACACUUUUAUGCUCCUGCUGCACCACCACCACAUCAUCAUCCACCAGUGCCCACAGGACCUCCUCCGCCACAAAUGGAUCAUCUUUAUUACUCUUUUGCAGCUGGGCCACCUCCACCACCUCCUGCUCAUGCACCUAUUGGAUUGUCUGAUCAUCAAUUACUUAUAUACCCCCCUGAUACUUCGUGUCAACAAACUACUACAUCAGACAAUCAAACUGCUCCGCAAGAGGAUUCACGUUCGACAUCAAGCCACUCGGAGCAACCACAUGGUGAAUCACAAGCUGCUUCAGGAUCAGCUACGCCUCUGGUAUCCCUAAUGCCUCUAAAAUUUCCUAUGUCCAGUCGUUACACCAAUUACCAUCCAAUCGCGAUACAUACUACUAAUUUACAUAACUCACAAACAUGUUUAAAUGAAAUAGACGAUUGCAGUGCAAAUCAAAUGCAUUGUAGAGCUAUAGUUUAUCAUCCUGUUUACAUUCCUCAUACACAUCCACCACAAUUUCACAAUACUUCUGGUGGUGCCAGUCUUUUACCAACACCUCCAUCAAUUUCACAAUUUGAGUCAAGUACUAAAACACAUCUCAAUUCCAGAGAUUAUACCAAAUCAAGUAUAACAAUAACUCAAAGCAAUUAUGUUAAAUCUCAAAAUCACAUAGCGGUAAUCAAUCCAAACACUUUUAGUAAAACUCAAAGUGUAGGAAAUUCAUUGCCACAUAAGUAUACUAAUGUAGAUGGAACUCAUAAAUAUGCAACCAUUGCUAUGACAUCUUCUCGAUUACCAGUUCAAUAUAGCAAACGAACUGCUGUUUCCAAUGUGGGCUCUCCGGCUUGUUUUUUGACACAAAAAUCUGGAAAUUACACUUCGAGUCAAAAUUUAAGCAAGCCUGGUAAUUUUGGAUCCAAUGUUAAUUUUAAUAAUCAAACAUACAAUCCAUCUAGUAAUAGUUCACAGAAGAUUGGAAAUAUGAAUAUAAAUCAAAACUUCGACUACGCGAAUGGACGUAAAAAUACGAACUAUAAUACAGAUCAAUAUUUUGACAACACAAUCGGAUAUAAAUCAACGAACUAUACCUCAGGUAGGAGGAAUGCAUCGAAUAAUUAUAGAACCACAGGUUCUGUAUCUGCUAAUCAAUUUGACAAUUUGAAUAGUAGCAGUCAAAGCAAUGAAUCUUCUACUAUGAGUCAAAUAGAUAGUACCAACUCUUCACAGGGUUUGCAAACUACAGAUUCAACAAGUUCAGAUAAGCCGGCGAGUCCACCGCCAGCACCAUACUCCCCCAUGACUCGACCCCUUCCAACUUUAUCACCACCCACCCCUCAGGUCCCGUAUUAUCCGCCGGCUCAAAACCGUUAUCAACCCUCCCUGCCAUCUCAGCACCAGCAGCAACAACAGCAGCAACAAUCUGGCCAACGUCGGUAUACAGUAGCUCCAACAUUGACUACAAAUAGGAAGACAACUGAGAAAUAUUCGAGUGCUAAUUCGCAAACUAUGUUGCGGCAAAGCAAAUAUAAGGAGAUACUUUGCCUUGUGGUUGAGUUGAAGUAGCAGAUCCAUAUCCAGAAUACAUUGAAUAAUUACAAGAUAGUUGAGAUGGUGGUCUAGGAUUAAUAGCAGGAAAAUCAGUUUGAUAAGUUGCACGUCUUAAUUCGCUAUAACUGGAAGAGACAGGACUAGGCGGUGGUGGCAAUUCUUCAGGAGGUGGAGGAAAUGAAUUUCCUGGAAUGCAAGCAACGUAUUCUGAAGGCUCAGGAGGUGGUGGUAAGUCGUCUAAAAAAAAUAAAAAAAAUAAUAAUAAACAUUAAACAAUUGUAUACUUUUCAUUAAAAACUAAAUAUAUAUUAUUAAUUUUACCACUGGUAUGAGUAGGUGGAAGAUUACUGUAAGUAUUCUCUGAUUUUGGAUUCCAUUGUAUAUUACUGUAAAUGAUAUCUUUCUCUGUUUUUUUUGGUACAGGAACAGAAAUAGGUGCUGGAGAUUCAACAUUACUAUAUACUGCACUAUUUGUAGCUCUAUCAUUGCGAUCUUCUACUGGCACUUGAGGAGCUGGUAAAUUUCCAACAUUUGAAUAAUAAUUUUUCUCAUCAUAUCCAUAUUUAGGUUCAAACUUCUCUUUUGUUUGAUGUACAUAGAAAUUUUCAUUAUUUUGAUAUAGUUUCACAGUCUCUUUUCCAUUAGUCAAUGUUGGUAUGUUAAAAUCAUUUUUUUCCAUGUUCAUUGAUACAUAUGGAGAAGGUGAAUUCAUAUAUAGGUUUGUAGAUUUUUCAUUUGUUCCAGCAUUAUUGAGUACAGUGCUAUAUGAUGGUGUUGGUGCUGCCUUUAUUGAAUAACUUUGUGGUAUCUAUCAAAAAACAUUAAUGGCAAUUUGUAAGAAAAUCAUAUUAAUUAUAAAUAUGUAAAUAUAACAUCA